rnacentral:rRNA from 1 species
UACGUAGGGUGCAAGCGUUGUCCGGAAUUAUUGGGCGUAAAGAGCUCGUAGGCGGUCUGUCGCGUCGGCUGUGAAAACCCGAGGCUCAACCUCGGGCCUGCAGUCGAUACGGGCAAACUAGAGUACUGCAGGGGAGACUGGAAUUCCUGGUGUAGCGGUGAAAUGCGCAGAUAUCAGGAGGAACACCGGUGGCGAAGGCGGGUCUCUGGGCAGUAACUGACGCUGAGGUGCGAAAGCUAGGGGAGCAAACGGG